rnacentral:rRNA from 1 species
GACGAACGCUGGCGGCGUGCUUAACACAUGCAAGUCGAACGCUGAAGCUCAGCUUGCUGGGUGGAUGAGUGGCGAACGGGUGAGUAACACGUGAGUAACCUGCCCUCUUCUUUGGGAUAACGCCCGGAAACGGGUGCUAAUACUGGAUAUUCACUGAUUCUCGCAUGGGGGUUGGUGGAAAGGUUUUUUCUGGUGGGGGAUGGGCUCGCGGCCUAUCAGCUUGUUGGUGGGGUGAUGGCCUACCAAGGCUUUGACGGGUAGCCGGCCUGAGAGGGUGACCGGUCACAUUGGGACUGGGAUACGGCCCAGACUCCUACGGGAGGCAGCAGUGGGGAAUAUAGCACAAUGGGCGAAAGCCUGAUGCAGCGACGCCGCGUGAGGGAUGGAGGCCUUCGGGUUGUAAACCUCUUUCGCUCAUGGUCAAGCCGCAGCUUUGGGUUGUGGUGAGGGUAGUGGGUAAAGAAGCGCCGGCUAACUACGUG